AUGUAUGCCAAAGCUGAGAACAUACUUAUUGGCAUUCGAAGCAACUUCAAGGCUGCUUGGACUCCUUUUCUUUUUGAACACCAGCUUGAGGAUAUGGACAGAGAAGGAGAUUUGAAAUCCAUAUUGGACUUUUCCAGAUUGCUUUAUUUUAUUCUCUGCAUCCUCUCCUGCUCAAAAGCAAAGAAACAAGAAAAGGAAAGGAAAAAAAAAAAAAAGCCCACAGCCUACCGGGCGCCCCCGCCCCCUGCGCCGCAGGCCAGGACCCCGGUGGCCAGACCCCGAGGGCCUCCUGACCCCGCGAUGGCAGCUGAGUCCGCGCUACGCAGCUAAGCAGUUCGCGCCUUACGGCGCUGCCUCCGGGGUGGACCCGGGUUCGCUAUGGCCGUCGACCGAGCAGCUGCAGGAGCUGGAGGCCAAUGAGCGCGAAUGGUACCCAAGUUUGACGACCAUGCAGGAGUCGCUGCCGGUGAAGCAGCUGGCCGAAGAGCAGAAGCUGUCAGGAGAGGGAGCAGCACACUGCAGAGUGCAUGGCCAAGAUGCCAAGGAUGAUUGAGAAACGGCGGCAGCAGAAGCGGGAGCGCAGGGAGAAGGCAGAGGCUGACAAGGAGAGGAGGACCCGACUGCAGGCUGAGGCCCAGGAGCGCCUGGGCUACCAGGUGGACCCAAGGAGCGCCCGCUUCCAGGAGCUGCUCCAGGACCUAGAGAAGAAGGAGCGCAAGCGUCUCAAGGAGGAAAAACAAAGACAGAAGAAGGAGGCGCGAGCUGCUGCAAUGGCUGAGACGGCAGCCCAGGACCCAGCCACCUCUGGGGCACCCAGCUCCUGAGCCUUUGUCCUUUCCCAAUAAAAGCCUGCUCCCUGGCAGUCCCCCUGAA